UAACAACUAUGUGAUUGAACCCAAAUAAAAAAAUUCUUUUUAUUUGAACUAUCUUUCUGUCUCUCUGUAAGGACAGUUGUUGACCAACAGGGUUAGAUCGGUGGUAUCCUUUCCGGUUGGGGUGAUUAUUGGCAUCGGAGCAGAUGAUAUCAGAUGUAUUAGGAGGGGAAUCGAACCCCAUAUCUGAGAGCAUAGAGGGAGACGUCGGCCCACCCAUCGGGACGGUGAUACAUUCUUUCAUUUAGUUUCGGCGUGAGAAGUUCAUAGUUGUUUGGAAUGAGAAAUUAUUGGCGUAUUUCAUGUAGGGUUUGUUUGGUGAUCGAAGAUCGUGUAUUGAUUUGGGAGUAGGCUUUUCAGACGAGUACUCCUUUAUCAUGUUCAUCUCUCUGAUUUCAACUUUAGUUUUGGUUGAUGAUGGGGUACCCUAUGCUCUGGUAGAGGAAUUUGCGGCUUGGGGGGCUCUGGUGGUGGUGGUGGCGACUGUGGUAGAGCUGGUGAUUUGGGUUUCUAGGUUUUCCGUAGAAGGAGCAGUGAUGAGAGAAAUUUCCAUUGAGGAUUGGAUGAUGGGUUGAAUAGAUGAUAAAGGUACAACAUUGGAUUGGGUGUAGAGGUUUUGACUUGGUUGUUGACGUCUGACAUUGUUGAUUGGAGUUUGGUGGAUGUUGGAGGAGGUUAGCCAGAAAAGAAAAUCGCGACAUAAAGAUGGGAAUUGCAAAAAGUUUUUUUGAAAUUUUAGAUCUGAAAAGAAAAUGGCGGUUUCUUUUGGGGAAA
rnacentral:lncRNA from 1 species